rnacentral:rRNA from 1 species
GACGAACGCUGGCGGCGUGCCUAACACAUGCAAGUGGAGCGACGAACCAGGGCUUGCCCUGGGGCGAAGCCGCGAACGGGUGAGUAACACGUGGGUAACCUGCCCCGAUGACUGGGAUAACCCGAGGAAACUCGGGCUAAUACCGGAUGUGCCCUACCGGCGUAAGCCGGCAUGGGAAAGGAAGCUUCGGCCUCCGCAUCGGGAGGGGCCCGCGGCCCAUUAGCUUGUUGGUGAGGUAAGGGCUCACCAAGGCAACAAUGGGUAGCUGGUCUGAGAGGACGAUCAGCCACACUGGGACUGAGACACGGCCCAGACUCCUACGGGAGGCAGCAGUGGGGAAUCUUGCGCAAUGCGCGAAAGCGUGACGCAGCAACGCCGCGU